AACGAACGCUGGCGGCAUGCCUAACACAUGCAAGUCGAACGAGACCUUCCUUUCUAGUGGCGCACGGGUGCGUAACGCGUGGGAACCCGCCCUUAGGUUCGGAAUAACUCCCCGAAAGGGGUGCUAAUACCGGUAAAUGUCCUCGGACCAAAGAGUUAUCGCCUUUGGAUGUGCCCGCGUUUGAUUAGCUGGUUGGUAGGGUAAAAGCCUACCAAUGGGUGGAUCCACAGCUUGGCAGAGAGGAUGGUCAGCCACACUGAGACUGAGAAACGGUGCAGACUCUUGGGGGAGGGAGGAAUGGGGAAUAUUGGAAAAUGGGGGGAAGCAUGAUCCAGCAAUGCCGGGUGAGUAAUGAAGGUGUUAAGGUUGGAAAGCUAUUUUACCCGGGAUGAUAAUGACAGUACCGGGAGAAUAAGCUCCGGCUAACUCCGUG
rnacentral:rRNA from 1 species